CCCGGGUAUGCUUGUAGGCACAUUAGCGGGGACCCCUGUAGCGGACGCUGGACAACGACAAGGAUGGCCACGCGCAUGGAGCACCCGCUUCUCAGUUCCACCUGCGCGGCCAUGAAGACAGGCCACCGUCAUCGCCUCUCCGUGGCAUACCAUCAUCGCCGGUCGGGGCUCAUGUAGAGGAAGACCAUCGUCCUCUACACAUGUUCUUUUAGGACUCAAAGUCUUUUUAGCAAGCUUGGAAUCAUUUAUCGUCUAAUGCGCUACAGUAUGCUUCGACAGCGGAACUUCUACUUGGUCGGUGAGUUCCAGAGGUUGGAAAACACGAAGGAACAAUGAAAUCGGUAGCCGUUCAUAAGGCGACAAGGGACCAGAGGCUACAGUUGCGUCGCUAGCAGGCAGGACACGAGCUAAUUAUACUGGCAUGGGCAGCUCAUCAUGUGGCACUUCACGAUUUUUUAGAUGCAAUGUCCAAGUGCCUACGUGUACAGAUAAGCAGAGGACCCAGCACAACCACCAGCCAAUAGUCCAGAAGAUAAACACGAGGGCUAUAGCAAGUUCAAGUCCAACACCU